rnacentral:tRNA from 1 species
AGUUUGAUGGCUGAUAAAAGUAUCAUACUGAUAGGAUGAAGAAUGUUAAAUAACUCAAACUU